rnacentral:lncRNA from 1 species
AUAGGUAAUCAUGUCUGUCAUGUAACGGCGUGUCAUUUCACGAGAGACGAUGGAUUCUUUGAUGGGUUGGAAUUUGAAGGAUUGAAGAUCGUAAGGAGGUGUGUUGAGGGACAUGGAGACUGAAGAAUAGUUAUGGGAGGUGGAUUUGAUUAAGUGGGAGGUGCGGGUAGCAAUUGAUCUUCCAUUGAAGAAUGAGGAUUUAGGAGUUGAAGAGAGAGAAGUGGUGAUAGAUGAGGUGGCCAUUGUGGCUGCGAGAAAGAAGAGUAUUUUAGGAAUAGAAAGGUAAUUGAUAUUUGUGAGAGAAGAGUAGCAGAUGAGUUUUAUAAAGAAGGAAAGAGGUGAAGAGGAUACAAUUUGAAAGGCUCACAAUUAAUUCAAGUGGGUGUUGAACGGCUGUCAGUUACUAUUUUGUACAUCCACAUCACAAAUUAAAAGAUACUCCCUCCCUUCUUUUUAAGUGUCUUUUAUUUAUUUAUUUAUCAUUUUUAAACUCAAAUUUUAGUUAUUAUUACUAUUUUAAUAUUAUCUAAUAUACUAUAUGUAAAGUGCAGAUAUGACGUCAAUAAAUAUUUACAUAUAUAAUAUAGAGUGAAUGCUAAGUCACUUUACAAAACGGCCCUAUUUUAUAUGGAAGUGAAAAAAUAGUGACAGCUGUGGGAUUUGAACCCACGCCCUUUCGGACCAGAGCCUAAAUCUGGCGCCUUAGACCACUCGGCCAAACUGUCUGAUUGAUAUCUUCUCUCAAUUAAAUGUUGAUAUAGCCUUAUUAAUACAAAUAUACUAGAUAAUCCAUAAACAAAAAAACAUCAUUCUUUAUUUAUAUAUAUAAAUCAUGAGUUGGUUUGUUUAAAAAAAAAAAUCUAUUUUUAUUUCUUAAAUUUUAUUUGUUAGUAAAAAAUUAAAAAAAAGGAAAUAAUUUUCUUUUGUUGAUGUAAACGAUUGUUAAAUUUAAAAGUCAAAAUGUCUUUAUAUACUAUCAUCAUAUCUAAGAUGAGAAAAGAAUAUUUUAUUAGAUUUGUUUCACUUAUAACAUUCUUCUCGAUGGAUUUAUAUCAUUGAAAUAUAGCGGAAUGACAUAGGACCAGUAGCAUCAAAUUUUUAAUAUUAACUAAUGUAUUUUAUUCUAUUUCAAUUACAUUUCAUCUUAUGCCAUCAAUCUAACAAUAUACCCUUUGAUUUCAUCUUAUGCCAUCAAUCCAACAAUACCCUUUGAUUGAAAAUGUGCGUGUAGUUUUCCUAUAAUUAUUAAUUUUAAUUAACGACUCUGAUUCUUUUAGGGAGAUAAAUCUAAUGAAAUUAACUUUAACGAUAAAUAUUUUUGGCAUGAUUUAGCAACAAGAGCUUAAUAACCGCAAAAUUGAUUCAGUAAUCCUCAACAUGCUGCGAGCAUGAAUGGUGUCAAUUUCUAUUAUUAAAAGACCAGCUCAGAAUGAUCACAUUCUUACAUGCAAUGGCCAAACUCCAUUUUCAUUAUUGUGCAUAUAGUCUUGUCUUGACAAACCAUAUGCAAUUUGCAAAAAGCAGCCUGUCUGUGGUCCCAUUCUCACAUUUUUUUCUACAUUACUAUAAUACUACUAUUUCACUAUUUUGACUCUGCAUUAUUGUCAUUUUUCAUUCACUAAUAUACCCUUUUCUUGUCUUUCUUGUAAAAGAUAAAUCCUUAUUUUCUAUGCAUCUCAUCCUCAUCUUACUAUGACCAAUUUUACCAAGUGAAAUGGUACACUGAUGACCGUUCCAUCUUGUUUGGAUGAUAAAAUCAUAUAGUAUACGGAUGACUGUUAAAUUUUAGUGCAUUAAUAAAAAAUUAUCGAGUUUUGAUUUAAACUAUUUGAUUUUAAUCGCACGAUUGUAGAUACGUGAUUAUUUUAAUUUAUUAAUUUCAUUGAAUUUAGAUUCCAAUUUUAUCAAUCUCUAUUUAGUUUUUUUUUAAGAUAUAUUAUAAGCAAAUUUAUUUAACUAAUUAGCUAAUUGAUAUUAUUUUUUAUUAGAUAAUAAAGUGUGAGUUUCUCCACUCGUAUUCUAAUAAAGUGGAACAUAAACAAAAAAUUAUAAUUAAAAAAUUAAUAUAUCAAAUACAUCGAUUUUUAAUAAAAGUAAUAUCCAAUAAUAUGACCCUCACAAUGACUAACAUAUUUUAGAAAAAAAACACUUAGACUGACUCUUGUGAUAAGUUAUCACAAUCAAUUAAAACCAACGAAAUAUAUAUUUUACUAAUUAUGUCAAAUCUAUUUUUAUUAAAAAAAGUUAAUAAAGUAGUGACUGAUUUUAAUUGAUUAUUGGAUAACAAUUUUCAAUAUGUUUUUAACAUUCUAUUGACUUUGGGGUAAUGAUGUUAUUAUAAGUGAAUGGGCAAAGUUGUACAUUUGUCACAUGCAAAUUAAUUAAACAGGUAAAUGCUAGAACAAAGUGGAACAAUAGCAUAUGACAUUACAACUGGAUGUGCAGAAAUCAUUUUCAAAGUAACGAUUAUUUAAUGAAGUGCGACACCUCGGGUUCAGAGAUCCAUCAACUGAGAAACCCUCCAUUCUCUUGACCCAAAAUUCUCAGAAUGGAUUCCGGGGCCUAUUCUUCAGUUUCCAUUAUUAUUUUCCUUGCAGCCAUCAUAGCUAGUGCUUAUUAUCAUUCAGCAGAAGCAGCUAUGUCUAAGGGAUCUUUUGAAGAUAAUUUCAGCAUAAUGUGGUCUCAAGAUCAUUUUACUACCUCUGAAGAUGGACAGAUCUGGUAUCUUUCUUUAGACAACGACACAGGUAUCAAAUCAAAUGCAUUCUCAUGUUAUAUUUUUUUUAAGAAUCGAAGUUACAAAGACCGAAUCUUAUUGCAUCGUUGCAGCAAAAUCACUCUGCCACUUACAAUAUUAUAGUCUAUCUUAUGUGUUGAUUUGAUUAAUUUGAUUUCUUUAUAAGCAAAAAUAUAUUAUGAAGAGUACUAAGUACUCAAAGAAUAUAGUCAAUGUUUUAAUUGUUAGCAUCAAAGUCUAUAUUUUGAGGCCAUUCCUAAAGCAAUGAAUGUUUUAUCAGGAUGUGGGUUUCAAACAAAACAAAGGUACAGAUUUGGGUGGUUUAGUAUGAAGCUGAAGUUGGUAGGAGGUGAUUCUGCUGGUGUUGUAACAGCUUAUUAUGUAAGUGUACAUUUACAUAACAUUGAAAUAUAGUACUACUAAAUGUGUUUCUUUAAAGAGUUCCUCUCUAAGAAGCACUCACACAUACACCUGAUAAGAAAUUGUUAUUGAAACUUUGAAAAAAUAUAAUUGAAUGUAAUUAUAUUUGUCGGUGUUAUGUUAGUGUCAACACUGAAAUAUGUCAACCACCAAACGCACCUUCAAUAUGAAGUAUAAGUGAUAUGAAGUAUAAGUGCUACAUAUGUUACUUUGUGUUUCUAUGAAUCCAAUUGGUGGGGUGUUUGAUAAGAAUGGUGGAAUUGUUGCAGAUGUGCACAGAAAAUGGUGCAGGACCAGAAAGAGAUGAACUUGAUUUUGAGUUUUUGGGAAACAGAACAGGGCAACCAUAUUUGAUUCAGACAAAUGUGUACAAGAAUGGAACUGGUGGGCGUGAGAUGAGACAUAUGCUAUGGUUUGAUCCAACUGAGGAUUAUCACACUUAUUCCAUCCUAUGGAACAAUCAUCAGAUAGUGUAAGUGCAAUCUUAUACUCAUCUUAUUAGUGUUUGUUAAUCUUAUAAAUUAUAAGCCAAGUUUCACAAAAUAAAAGAGAGUAGAUCAUCAUCAAAAUGUUUGCAAAAAAUGGUAAUGAAUCUAAAACGGUACCCUUCUUUAUGCUUUUGUCGGUUUAAGGCUUCUUUUCUGAAUUGUCAAAAAGUAGUACAAGAUAUGAUUGUGUGGUUAAAGAAACGAAUAUAGUUAGUAAAAUCUACACUAUGUGGGCCUAGUUUAAUUAUUAUUGUUACCUACUCAUAUGUAUAUUUAGGCUAUUCUUUGUGUUGUUAAGUUGGUAAAUCUUAUAAAAUUUAAUUGAAUGGAAAAUGAAACUUGAAUAUAAAUAUCAUUUGUCCAAUUUGGGUAUUUAUUUUUAAGCUAAGAUGAAUAAAAUUUUGUUUACUGAAUGUUGGAAACAGGUUUUUUGUGGAUAGAGUUCCUAUAAGGGUAUUCAAGAACAAUGAAAAACCAAACAAUUUCUUCCCGAAUGAGAAACCAAUGUACUUGUUUUCAAGUGUAUGGAAUGCAGAUGAUUGGGCCACAAGAGGUGGACUUGAGAAAACAAAUUGGAAAUUAGCUCCAUUUGUGUCAUCUUACAAAGAUUUCAGUGUUGAUGCUUGUCAAUGGAAAGAUCCAUAUCCUACAUGUGUUUCAACCACAACAAAAAGUUGGUGGGAUCAAUAUGAUGCUUGGCAUCUAUCAGGAGAUCAAAAAAUGGAUUAUGCUUGGGUUCAGAGAAACCUUGUGAUUUAUGAUUAUUGUAAGGAUUCUGAACGUUAUCCGAUUCUGCCAGAAGAGUGCUCAUUGAGUCCAUGGGAAUAAUGUAUCAAGGGGAAAAUAUUAUUUUUCUUUUAAUUAAAUAUUUUUUUUUUUGUAUUAUCAAAAUAUUUUAGUUAGCAGAGUUUUUUUAUUCGUUGAAUAUUAUUUUCUGAUUAUGUAAAAGCACAUUCCAUAAUAGAUGAAGUUUACAUGGCUUACAAUUUCACUUCUACAACCACAAUUAAUCACUACUUCAUUCCCCCCCCCCCCCCCCUCNNNNNNNNNNNNNNNNNNNNNNNNNNNNNNNNNNNNNNNNNNNNNNNNNNNNNNNNNNNNNNNNNNNNNNNNNNNNNNNNNNNNNNNNNNNNNNNNNNNNNNNNNNNNNNNNNNNNNNNNNNNNNNNNNNNNNNNNNNNNNNNNNNNNNNNNNNNNNNNNNNNNNNNNNNNNNNNNNNNNNNNNNNNNNNNUAGAGUAGAGAUGUAAAAUAGGUCGGUUCAGUAGUCUAAAUGACCCAUACACGUGAAUAGUUUAGUUUUGGUCCGAUUCACUUUGUUAUAGAGUUGUGUUUUAUUAAGAUUGGCUCAUCUAUUAUGGGUUAUGUGGAUUAGCAGUAGUCUUGGUCGACGCGCAAGAACCACAAUAAUACUAUGUUGUGGAUUAGCAGUAGUCUUGGUCGACGCGCAAGAACCACAAUAAUACUAUGUUGUUGAUUAGCAGUAGUCUUGGUCGACGCGCAAGAACCACAAUAAUACUAUGUUGUUUUUAACUUUUAGUAGAAUACAUUUUUUUAAAAAAAUUAAGUUUUUUUUUUUUAAUUAUGAUCAAUCUAUUACUUUAUUUUUUUUAAAUCAAUUCAAAAAGACUAAUUUGACCGCCAUCAAGUCGAAUGAGAAUGAGUUAUUGAAGUGUUUUGAAUUUAUAAAUCUGAAAUUUGUACGAUACAUUAGCAUAUUUCUCAGCUUGAAUUUUGAGAAGUUCAUGGAAACACUUGUCUUGCAAACCGUAGAUCCCAUUUGUUGCUUAUUAUUCUCAAUUUCAUCACUUGGGAUUUUUCCAAGAAAGGAUAUCCCUUCCUAGUUUUAAAUUCAAGUAGGAGUAAUUGUUUUAUUAGAUUUUGACCUCUUCCUCCAAACUCUUUUAAUUUUAUUUGAAUGUAUUUUGUUAUGUGUUACAAAUGAUUGUUAGCAGUUGACUGUGUCAAAUAUAUUUGAAAUGUCAUUCUCUGAUACAAUGCAUUUGCAUUGUAAUAGCAUUUUAUAUAAAAUAAAAUCGAUAGAUGGAUUAAAUUCAUCAUCUAAAAUCGAUGGAUGGAUUAAAUUGAUCGAGAAACAUUUAAUUUUACAAAUAAAUUUGUCUAAUUAGAUUUCAAAUAUUCUUUUUCAAAUUAAAUUAAAUUGAACUUAAUAGCAAAUAUAACUUUUCAUAAUUAUUUAUUUUAUAAUUAGUAUGAGAUGUUGUAUAAUUCUUUUUUAAAUUAAAGUAUUUUUACAUGCAACUACAGAGAUUAAUUAUUCGAAGUAAUUGAGAUCUAUGUAAAAAUGAUUAAUCUCCCCAACAAUAUUUUUGUAUGCAUAUCAACUAGAAUGGUACCCUCAACCAAAUAGUUAAAAAAACUUAAACAUCUAUUACUUGUAUUCAUACUUAUUAGUUUAAUAUAAUAUAUACCUUAGUUCUUUUUUAAUACUCAUUUUCAGAUUAUUUACAAUUGCCAAUAAAAACUAAUAAAUUUUGUUAUUUUUCAUAAAAUUAAAUAUCUUUUACCUUUAAUAUUAUUUAUUAUCUCAUUUUAUGUUUUUUUUUCUUCUCUUUGCAAUAAACAAUUAGAGAUAAUUUUGUCAAACCAAUAGUUUUUUUUUUCUCUACUUUAAAUUUUGAAAACGACAAAUAAAAAGAAACAAAAAUUUCUAUUAUAAGCCAUUAAAAAUAAAUGGAGAAACUAUUAUUUUAUUAUUUUAUUAUUUCAUAUGUUGCAAACCUAAUUAAUAAUAUAAAUAUUAUUAAUAAUAUUCAUCUUGUCUCAAAUUGAUAUCAAAUAUACCAAAUUUUUAAUUACAUUUUUUAUCUAUAUUUCACUUGAUAUGAAGUAUUUAAAAAGAAAUUUUUUAUAGGAUGUUAUUUGAUAUAAUAAUAUAAAUAUUUCUUACAAAUAAAUGUAAAUUGUUAAUUUUAUUAAUAAAGAGGGAGAAACAUUAACAACCGCCGAACUGUUGACAUCCUAAGCCUUCUCAAUAAUCGUCAUAUUUCUCACUCAAAGUCACUAGAUUAAAUUUUGGAUGACAUAAUAAUAUAAAUUUACGAUUACACAUCGGUAAAAUUUAAUAUUCUAUCUAAUCGAAACCGCUUUUAAUCAGAUUUGAUAAAUUAUUUUCAAGGAAACAAUCCAAAUCAAACAAAACAAUGUCAAACCAAGAAUAACAUGUUAUUGUAAUCUUUAAAUUAAAAUAUCUCUUGUCUCAAAGUCGAUCGUAAACAGACCAUGAACAACGCUAGUAACGUAGGAUCAUUUGUCUAUUUUUUUAUUUAAAAAAUUCCAAGAAUUUUAUUUAAUUAUUUUAAUUCAUUAAAUAUUUACAAAAAUUAAUCAUCUAUACAUUAUAAUAAAGCAAAGAUGAUAAUUUGACAAGUUUGUCACGUGUCAGCCAAAUAGAAUAUUAGGAAUAUAUCAAGUUUCUAUUAAUAAAAAUAAUAUCUUAUGUGUCCGCUAAGAAGUUAAUGACCAAUUAAAAAAUUAGAAAGAAUGAAUUAAAAAUAAAAAUAAAAAAUAAAAAAUUAAGAAAGAAAAAAAUAAAACUUCCAAUUACAUCACGAUAUUUGUACGUGAUUGAAUUUAGUGGUCAAUUAAAAAAUUAAAAAUAAAAUACAAUACACCACGACAGUUUUUGAAUGUUUGUAUGCGGCCGUUGAGAAGUUAAUGAUCAGUUAAAUAAAUAAGAAGAAUGAAUUAAAAAUAAAAGGUGAGGUAAUGGCCAGUUAAAAAAAUAAGAAGAAUGAAUUAAAAAUAAAAGAUUUUUUUUUUAAGAAAAAAAUAAAACUUCCAUUAUACCACGACUUUAUUCAUGAUAAUGCAUCAGAAGUUAAUGGCUAAUUAAAAAUAAUUGUUUUUAAACACUACUUUAUUAACCACCGUUUCAAAUUAAUUUAAUUAAAAAAUUUAUUUUAUUUUACUAAUUAUUUUUCAACUUUCUUUUUUAAUUCGUCGUCAUCCGUUAACCGUCUAUCCUCAAUAAUCUCUCAUUUUCCAUGUCUCUUUUAUAAAGAUCAUUCGUAUUAUCUCAGUACACAAUUUCCUCUUAAUUUUUUCUAUUUUAAAAAUUCGUUAUUUAUUUUUUUGUUUAUCGUUAUCCGAUAAAAAAUCAGAUUUUGUUACUUCAAUUUCUCCAAAAAAAAGAGUCAUGAAAUUUGGUUAUUAGAAUCGUGCGAUUACGGUUUCUGUUUGAUCUGAAUAUCAAACAUAAAUUUUAUGCGAUGGAAAUUGUAUUGAUAAUGGAUGACAAGGUUUAACUCUUUGUUUUAUAAAUUCAAAUUUUAAAUUAUACCCAAACUUAUUUGUUAUGUUAUUAAUUUAACAAAGUUGUGUUUCAUAUUGUUAGGGUCAUAAAAUUCAAACAACAGUGUGAAAAACUCUUAUUUCUCGAUUUGAGACUACUAUUCGUGAGAGAGUUGUGUACAACUUUUGUUCUCUUGGUGUUGCGUCUAACUCUGAAGCAUAUAAAACAACCGGACACCAAUUCGAAAGUUUAGUCAGAGUCUCUCCGUACUCAAUUUCAUUCCCAGAAAUUGGAAAUGUUUGGCAGUUUUUUUAAGAUAAUUGUUUUUUAAACACUACUUUUGCAACACCGCUUUAAAUUAAUUUAAUUAAAAAUUUUAUUUUAUUUUAAGAAUUCUUUUAGUGUCAUCAGAUUUUCCUUUUUAAUUCGCCUUCUCCGUCAAUUGUCUCUCUUCCUCUCAUUUUUUGCGUCUCCUUUGUAAAUAUCAUUCAUGUUACACAAAUCAUUUUUAACUUUUCUUUACCAAAUAUUCCUUAUUCAUUUUGUGUUUAUCUUUUUCCUCUGAUGUCUGGAAAAAAAAGAUUUUGUUGCUUCAAAGCCAUGGAGUUUAGUUGUUAGAGUUGUGCGAUCGUGGUUUAAACAUAAAUUUUAUGCAAUGGAAAUGGUCUUGAAGGAUGACAAAGUUUAAUUCUCGUGUAAAUUCAAAUUUUAAAUUAUAUUAUUUGUGUAUUAACAAACCUGCCUUUCAUAUUCUUAGAGAGAUAGAAUUGAAUCAACCGCGAGUUUUUAUUUUUUUACAUUUGAUGUGUACAAUUCUGUUGGUGUUGUUUCUAACAACUUUCUGGUGUAUAUGGAACAAUCGGACACCAUUUCAUAUUGUCAUUGUUAUUUUAUUUUAUUUAUAAAAAAAGAUUACUAUUUUGUUAUAUAUAUUUUUUUAUUGUUUAUGUUUCUAAAUUUUGUCUUACAAAAAUUAUACAUCACUGUAAGAUUUUUUCUGAACAACGUUGCCACAGGAGUUAUAUUGAAGAGAAAAAUAAUACUUUAUUUAAGUAAAUAUAAAAUUUAGGCUAAAUACAAUUCAUUACAUCUAUUACACAUUUUAGUUUUUAUUGGAAGUAAUGAUUUUUCAAACUUCAAACACUGUUCUAACCAGUCUAUUACAUCACGAUUUGACGACAUCUAUUACACAUUUUUUUGUUUUUAUUGGAAGUAAUGAUUUUUCAAACUUUAAAACUGUUCUAACCAAUCUAUUACAUCACGAUUUGACGAGUUGAUAGUUAUGUGAAAAUGUAUAAUGAUUUUUCAAAAAUUAUUAUUUUAAAUGGUUCCAUUUUAAUUUUACUAAUAUACUAUACAUUUUAUAUUCUAAAUUUAUUAUUAAAUAUCAUGCAAAUUCAAAAGAAUUCAAAGGAUUAAUGAAAGAUUAAUGAAUACUAACAUGCAAAUUCAAAGAUAAAAAAUAAUUAUAGUUUUUAUGUGUAUUGUAUUUUUUUUUUUGUAAUAGGAAGAUUAUUUUUCUUUAGUAUUUUAUGAGUAGUACCAGAAUGAAAAAUAUUUUGUCACUUGAUAGAUCAAGAUUUAUAUGAAUUUUUAAAUGUCAUUUAUUUCAUAUAAAUAACAUACUAUGUUAGAAUGAUAAAAAUAAAAAUUCAUUAUUAAGUUAAUUACUCAUAUUUACAUUUACUAAUUUACUUAAUUUAUAUAUGUCAUGUCCAUUAUUUUAAAAAUUCUUAUUUCAUCUAAUCUAAUUAUUUAAUUUUUUAAUAAUUAUUGUUUUUAUUUGUUUAAAAUUAAAAGUAUUGUUUUAUAAUAAGUAUUUUUGGAAAAAAAAAAAAAAUUCGAAUUCAAAAAUAAGAUUAAAGAGUAGUGUUGGAGUCAUGUUUUUCAUGAGUAAUAUUGACCGUAUAAGAAAGUAGUUUUUAAAUUAGAUUAGAAUUAGAUUUUUUUACUGUAAAUUAUUUUUUUAAGUCAACUUAUUAAUUUAAAUGUCAAUAAAAUUUAUAAAAAUUAAUAUAUAUAUAUAUAUAUAUAUAUAUCUUAUAUGGACUCGCAGCAUGUCGUUUAGAACUUCCAAACCCAAUAAACAAACGAUCAUUAGUUGGAUGGUUUGGUGCAAGAUUAAACGACACAAAGAAACGGGAUUAGGGUUUUGCUCUGAUUAGGGAUCCGAAUUUGAUAUUCGAAUCGAAAAAUUCGUAAUCAAAUCAGUAACCAGAGCCAUUAACGCAAUGGUCUGCGAAAAGUGUGAGUAUCUCGUCCUUUUCAGCAAUCCAUCCAUAUUUCUCGCUUAAUUUAUCUCUGUAAAAAAUUCAAUUAAUUUUCGGUAAUUUGAACUCGUGGUUGCAGGUCAGAAGAAAUUAUCGAAGGUGAUAGUACCAGACAAAUGGAAGGAAGGUGCCAGCAAUACUACUGAAGGUGGUGGCCGCAAAAUCAACGAGAACAAGCUCCUCUCCAAGAAGAACAGGUUCCAUUCAACCUAAAAUUUCAAUUUUUUAUUUAUUGCAUAAUUUGUUUCUUUUUAUUUUUUAAAUUGAGUAUGGAAAGCAUAAUAAUUUGGCGCUGAUUGAUAAUAUGCUAAAGUGUAAUUAUUUCUAGUUUUAUAUUGGAAAUUUUGGAGGGCAAAUUUAUUUUCAUCUGCUUGAUAUUCGAAUUUUGAGGUGGGGGUUUUGGAAUUAAAUCCACUCUGCACAGUGGAAAAUCAUUUCAUGCUACUCUAUUUUUUCCCCAACUUGUUUGAAUCUCAAUGCUACUCGUGUUACUGUUAGGAUGAGAUUCUCCAUGGAAGAGUUGAUAUUUGAACUUGUUAGGAUGAGAUUCUUCCAUGGAACAAUAGGCUCUGAUGUUUGCAUGUUUCACUUUAGGAGUUUCUAUGCAUAUUUGGUCUCUGUUUUGGGAAUGUUGGCCUUGAUAUUCCCUGCGCAUGUUAUGCCAUCACAUACUUGGUUUGGUGCUUUAAACUUAAUCUUCUUUAAUGUCUUAUUUGGAGAAAAAAAAAUGUUUUUUCAUAUAUAGAUUUGCUAUGGUUGGUUGUAUGGUCCAAGUUGUGAAAGAAGCCUAAUGUUUUCAGGUGGUAGUUAGUGAUGGAGAACUUGUUAGCUAUUUUGUACAACAAGUGAAUAAAUUGUUGGAUGUCACUAGGACUUGAUAUUGUAAGAUACAGCUUUGUAUUUUAAAAACAUUUAUAUAUAUCCGCUGUUCCCAUUCAUUUUAUUUAAUGUUUGUAUUUUUGUGAUGAAGAUUGGUAUUUCCCCCAUUACUUCACCAAGGUCACUUUCCCUCUUCAUGUUACGACCUACAAUUUAGAUAUCUUGCCAAUACUAUUGCAGUAUUGCACAAUUAAAAUGGGAUAUCUGUAUUUUGAUUGAUGUGGCUCUUGGAAAAUAUUUUUGAUAUAUCUAUCUGGCUCAACCUUCAAAAUUGUUAGAACACGUUUUAGCUUUGUAUAUUCUUUAUCUCGUUAUCACAUAUGUGCACACAGUCUUGUACUUAUAAAUAGUCCUCAAGAGUCAAUACUAUAAGCACUGCUUACUAGUUGUACACUUAUAAAAGUAAUACUGACUAUACGUAAAGUUCUUGCGUUUUGGAUGGCUUAAUAAUAUCUGUCCAAAUUGCCAAGGAUUUUGGUCCAGAGUGAGUGUCAUUAUGAAUAGAGAUAGUACACUUGAAGGAGGGCUGUGCCUGUGCCAUUACUUUUUGUAAAUAUUUAUGCAUUAGUCUUGCACUUAUACUUGAUUCACGAUACCAUCGACAAUUUUUUUGUCCAAAUAUAUACUAUACCUUGACAUGUUGUUUAAAGGGCUCCCUUUUCUUCUUUUGUAACUUGUUUUUAUUACACCCUGCAUUUUUUUCAUCAUGUGAAGUGCGUUCUUAUUUUAAAUUAAUUCCUUGCAGAUGGACCCCUUACGGGAAUACCAAGUGUAUCAUUUGCAAGCAGCAAGUGCACCAGGAUGGCAAGUACUGUCACACCUGUGCUUACUCGAAAGGUGAUAUUUCAUGUUUAGGCGUUUUGCAUUUGCUGCUAUAUUGUAUCAUGAAAGUGCAUAAUUCGACUGCUGAUGUAUUUUGUAUUUGUAGGAGUUUGUGCGAUGUGUGGCAAGCAAGUUCUUGAUACCAAGUUUUAUAAACAAAGCAAUGUGUAGUGCAUUUCUGCUGCAUUCUGAUCUUGUUGCUAACACUGUAACUGAAUCUGUAAAAAAUAAAUUGUUCUAUUUUCUCUGUCAUAUGUAAUUGACUUAUUGAAUGUUUAUUCCUGAUCUAAAACAUGUACCUUUGGUCAACUAACUCAAUUUUUACCAGAACAGAGCUUAUUAUAAAACUUAUUAUAAAAGGGUGUUUAGGUCAAAAUUGAUUUUGACUCUAGCAAAAGGUUAAACAAAAGUGAAAUAAGAAAUUCUACAGGAGUCAUAUUGAAAAAAUUAAUAAAAUAUUUCAAAUAUUAAUUUUGACUUGUUUUAAUAAACUUUCUAAUAUAGAGAGAUAUUUUGGUCACUUCUUUGCAUACAAUUUAUUUUAAUUUUUCCACACCAAAAAUUCUUUACGAAAUAUUUAAGGAAAAUUUAUAUAAUUCAAGAUUAUUGAUAUAUUUUUCUAAAUUGGAUCUUUUUUUUAUUAAAGUGACCCUAGAAACAUUUGCAAUGCUGAAAACUUAACGGUUUCUUACUUUCUAAAUGUUGUCCUCUAAUCUUUUUUUUAUCAUUGGAGUGUGUAUAUGACAAUUGAGAUAAGGGAUUGGUGUUUAAGGAACUUAAUUAUUAAAAUCAAAUUUUUAUUAUUAAAUCUCAACUGGAAAAAUUGGAGAGCAUAAGCAGAAAUAAGUAUAAGUUGUUUAUUAUAAUCAGUUUAGAAUAAAAUUAGUAAAGUUGUUUAUAGAUUUACUUAAAUGUUAUUAAAGUUGUUUAUAGAUUACUUAAAUGUUACGUGUGGUAGUUUGAGCCCAUAAAAUAUAACUCAAGUAACCUAAAAAAAUUCUCUCGUUAAGACACUAAUAGUUAUUUUAGGAUUGUUACUAAAGAAAUUUAAACCAUAUUCCUUAAAAUUAGGAAAUCAUAUUCUACCUGUAGAAGUGAUACAUGAUGGCUAUAAUAUUAAAUAAUACUACUAUUAUUAAAUAAGAGAGAUAGGAUUUAUUUUUGUUUAUAUUUAGUUUAAAAUAUAUUUCAUUUUUGCUUAUUAAUUUGUACCCCAACACUGUAAUUGUAAAAUUUAUGUCUUGACUUUCUACAUGUCAUAAGUAGGCAGACAAGAAAUGUCCAAAAAAAUAUGAAGAUAUUUAUUCAAAGUUUAUUUCCAUAACACGUAUAUGGUAGUUAUUUAUGACUUGAUUUUACUUGGAUAUUAGUAUGCUGAUAGAUUGAACAUACCAUUUAUUUUCUUUUUUUGUCCUAAAUAGUUCGUAAAUUGCUACAUGUUCAGACAAUUUGUUUGUCUAAACAUAGAUAUGAAAAAAACAUACUCUAAGUGACACACAAGUAUGAUAACUUCAUUCACAUUUUCUUUAUUCAUUAUUGAGUCCAAAUCACAGGCAAAAGAAAAGCAAAAGAAAAAUAAGCUAAAAACUAAAUCGAUUUAAUUGUAAAUUUUAAGCAUCAACAAUGUCCUCUAAUUCAACAGAAGCCAAAACAAGUUCAGGUUCUUCCCUUGCAGAAUCGCAAGUUCCAUCAAUUGCAUUGUUCUUUCUCAAUGCCUUCAAUGUCAAAUGAGCUGCCUUCUACCCUGAUAUCAUCAUAGCUCCAAAUGCUGGACCCUACAAAAAUCACCGACAAAAUCGUUAUCACAUCUUAAUCAAAUAUUUCUUACCAUCUUGAAAUUAAUUGCACUAAAACCAAUCAACUUGCAGUUAAAAAUAUCUAUCAAAAACCUUGAUAUUAAUUUCCACAUUACUUUAAUUACUUCCUAAAUCAAAAUUGUACAAACAAGCCUAUAAACAAAAUAUUCUUUUCUUUGCUAGAUUAUAAACAAAAAUUCUAGUUCCCCCAAAGGUUAACUCAAUAUAUUAUUUUACACAAAAUUGUCAAAGCCUACAUUAUAUACACACACAUUAUCUACGUAAAAAUCAUUUUUAAAAGAUACAUUUUUUUUAAAGAGUGUGAUUUUUAUCAUAUUAAAAUCUCUAAUAAUAAAAAUAUAAGUUAUUAUAUAUCAAAAUUAAUUUUUUAAUCAAUAAUAAAUAAAUCAAAAUUAACAUAUAUUAUUUUUAAGAAAAUUAUUUCAAAGAUAUAAAGUCAAAUCAUUUUUAUAUUCCACUAGACUCCAUUCAAUGAUAUCAAUCCAAACAUAACUAAGAAAGAAAAUUUAAUAUAACUUUUUUCUUCCACUCGACCAAACUGUGUUCUUGCACAAUCUGCUCAAUUAAAACAUAAAGUAGAGUGUUUAUAGAAAUAUAUUAAGCAUUUCCAUUGACAAAAACAUCAUUCUUUUUAAAUAUAUAGAAAAAAACAUAGUUGGCUGGUUCCCUUUUAAAAAAAAUAUACUAUUUUUAUUUCUUAAAUUUUAUUUUUCAGAAACUAGGGGAACAAAAUUAGAUGGCUAAAUUACAUUUGUGGUUCUUUAACUUAAUCUCAGGUAACGUUUUAGUCCUUUAUCUUAUUUUUUUCCCGAUUUACUCCUUUAUUCCUAACAAUAUCAAAAAUAUGAGUUUAUUUGAAGAUUUGCGUUACGAAUUUGAUGAAAUUUGUAUUAUACUGAAGAAUAUAAUUAAUUUUAUGAGUUUUGAUUUAAUUUUUUUUUUUGAAUUUUUGUAUAAAAAAGGAUAACAUUGUUGAAAUUUUAAAACAUAAAAUAUCAAAUUGUCACUUAAAAUUAAAAUAAAGAACCAAGUCGGGAAAAAAAAAGAUAAAAGACUAAAACGUUACUUGAGAUUAAGUUAAAGGACCACAAAUAUAAUUUAGCCAAAAUAGAUAAUUUUUUUAACGCAAACAAUUGUCUAAUUUAAAAUUCAAAAUGUCUAUAAAUAUCACCAUCACAUCUAAGAUGGCGAAAGAUUAUCCUAUUAGAUUCUUUUCAAUUUGGUAAUUAUUUUCAAUGGAUUCUAGAUAAGAGCAUCUAUAACGGUGAACUCAAUAUGGGUUUUUUAGAUGAGGUCCACUGUGCCACAUUAUCUUGAAGCAAUUCACUCAUUUUCUACUCAAACGGUGAACUCAACAUUAUUCAAGUUCUACUAUGCUACAUCAAUGUAAAUCAACUCAUUCAUUUUUUACAGUUUAACUUUUAAAAAAUCAUAUUAUAUUCAAUUACUUUAAUUUAUAUAUUAAUAUUUAAUUUUAUUAUAACUUAAAAUAUUAAUUUAAAUGGAAAAAUAAAUAAAAAAGUACGUUAAUAAAAACUUUAAUAAACUUCUGUAACAAAAAUUGUGAAGAAAAAGUAUGAGUAACAAAUUGUUUAUAUUAAUGAGCUAACAAUCUUAAUUAAAGGAGAAAAAAAAGCUAACGGUGGUAUAUUAACUAAAAAAAAGCUAAUGGUUACAAAAUUAUUAUUAUUUAAUAAAUUAAAAAGAAGUUAACGACUAUAAUUAAAAAAAGCUACCGAUUAUAAUUAUAUUAUUAUUAAAUUAUGAAAGUAGAUAGAAAAAAAAAAUAAAAAUUAACUGCUAUGAAACACCGUUCCUUCCUUACAGUACCGUGAUGACACUUUGACACAACUCCAAUGGUGAACCCACAAAAAACUAAAAGUUAAGUACACGUUGGCGACGAACUUAUUUUUACUCUCGUUGUAGAUGCUCUAAGUAAUAUAUCCUUUGAAAUAUAGUGAAGAUGUAACAUUAAAAUUUUAAAAUUAACUAAUCUAUUUAUUCUAUUUCAUUCAAUUACAUUUCAUCUUAUGUCACCGAUCUAACAACACUCUUUGAGAAUGUGCAUGUAGUUUUCCUACGCUUAUUUUUUUUAAUUAACGACUCGGAUUCUCUUGUUUCAGGGGAGGUGGAUUUGAUGAUGUGGGAGAUUCGGGUAGUAAUUGGUUUUCCAUUGAAGAAUGAGGAUUUGGGAGUUGAAGAGAGAGAAAUAGUGAUAGAUGCGUUGGCCAUAGUGGAUGCCACGAAGAAGGGUAUUUUGGGAAUAGAAAGGUAAUUGAUAUUUAUGAGAAUGGGUUUUAUAAAGACGGAGAGGUGCGAGAUGUGUGAAAUAUGUGAACGGAAAGAUGAGGAUAUAAUUUGAACGGCUCCCAAACCUUAAUGUCAGAGAUAUUUUUUUAUGUGAUUGAAAUCAUUGCCUUUUUGCUCUAUUAAUUCAAGUGUGAGUGCUCCAUUAACUACUAUGUCCUACAUCCACAUCAUAAAUUAAAAGAUACUCCCUCCCUUCUUUUUAAGUGUGUUUUAUUUAUUUAUUUAUCAUUUUUAAAGUCAAAAUUGUAUUAAUUAUUAGUUUGUCAAAUUAUUUUUAAUUAUUUAUUAUUAUAAUGAGAAAAAAUAUGAAACGUUUUUUAGUGUAAUAUUUUUAUUAAUAACUAUUUUUCAAAUAUUUGUUAAUAUUUUUUCAUAACUUAAAAGUGAUAAUUAAACAAAACAGUGCUAAUAUUAUAAAUACUAUUUUAAUACUAUGUAGUAUACUAUAUAUAAAAUGGAGAUAUGAUGUCAAUAUAUAUAUAUAUAUAUAUAUAUAAUAAAGUGAAUGUUAAGUCAUUUUAUCACAUACUUUUUAAAUUAGAGAAUAUACUUUUUAAAUUAGAGAAUAAAAAAAAUGAAGGUAGUUAGUGGAAUGAGAUUAAAUGGAUAUCAUCAUGUUCUAUUUUAUUUUUAAAAACAAUAUUCAAACAAUGGAGUGCUAUAUUAGAUUCGUUUGUCUUAAAUUUUUUUAAAAUAAUUUAUUUUUUAUAAUAUUUAUAAAAGAUAAUUUUAAAAAUAAAGUUUAAAAUGAAGAAAUUAUUUUAAAUAAUUUAUCUUAAAAUAUUAUUUUUUUAAGUAUUUUAUUUAUUUGUUACCAUUGUUUGCAUAACAAAUUUUAAAUUUUUUUUCAUAAAAAUUAUUUUUAAAACAUACAUUUUUUUCAAAGAGUGUGUUUUUAAUCAUGUUAAAAUCUUUAAUAAUAAAAAUAUAAGUUAUUGUAUAUCAAAAUUAAUUUUUUAAUCAAUAAUAAAUAAAUCAAAAUUAAUAUAUAUUUUCUUUAAGAAAAUUAUUUCAAAAAUAUAAAAUCAAAUCGUUUUUAUAUUCCACUAGACUCCAUUCAAUGAUAUCAAUCCAAACAUAAUUAAGAAAGAAAAUUUAAUAUAAUUUUUUUCUCCCACUAUUUUUCUUCCACUCGGCCAAACUGUCUUCUUGUACGAUCUGCUCAAUUAGAGUGUUGAUACAGAUAUAUUAAGUAUUUCCAUUGACAAAAACAUCAUUCUUUUUACAUAUAUAGAACAAAUAUAGUUGGCUGGUUCCCUUUUAAAAAUAUUAUUCUAUUUUUAUUUUUUAAAUUUUAUUUGUCAGCAACUAAGGGAACAAAAAUAGAUUAAAAAAAAUUAGCAUAAACAAUUGUCAAAUUCAAAAUUUAAAAUGUCUAUAAAUAUCACCACCACAUCUAAGAUGAUUAAAUAUUAUCUUAUUAGAUCCUUUUCAGUCUGGUAAUUCUUCUCUAUCGAUUCUAGAUAAGUAAUAUAUCCUUUGAAAUAUAGUGAAGAUGUAACAUUAAAAUUUUAAAAUUAACUAAUCUAUUUUUUUCUAUUUCAUUCAAUUACAUUUCAUCUUAUGCCACCAAUCUGACAAUACUCUUUGAGAAUGUGCGUGUAGUUUUCCUACACUUAUUUUUUUUAAUUAAGGAUUAUGAUUCUCUUGUUUUAAGGGAGGUGGAUUUGAUGAUGUGGGAGGUGCGGAUAGGAAUUGAUAUUCCAUUGAAGAAUGAGAAUUUGAGAGUUGAAGAGAGAGAAGCAGUAAGAGAUGCGGUGGUCGUGGUGGCUGUUAUGCCAUAAAGAUGGGUAUUUUGAAAUAAAAAGUAAUUAAUAUUUGUUAGAGGAGAGUAGAAUGUGUUUUAUAAAGACGGAAAGAGGUGUGAGAUGUGAAGUGUAUGCUUUUUGAAUGAUGAGGAUAGAAUUUGAACGGCAUAUAAGUAGUAUACUAUAUGUAAAGUGCAGAUAUGACGUGCGAGAUGUGAAGUGUAUACUUAAUAUUAUCUGCAUAUAUGACAUCAAUAAAUAUAUACAUAUAUAAUACAGAGUGAAUGCUAAGUCAUUUUAUGAUAUACUUUUCAAAUUAGAAAAAUGAAAUAAGAUAAGUAGUGGAAUGAGAUUAAAUGGAUGUUUUCAUCUUCUAUUUUUAUUUUUUUUUUAAAUAUUCAAACAAUAGAAUGUUACAUUAAGUCCGUUUAUUUUAGAAUUUCUUAAAAUGAUUUUUAUAACAUUUUAUUUUUUUGUUAUAAUAUUUAUAAAAAAUAAUUUUAAAAAUACAGCUUUAAAUGAAUAAAUUAUUUAAAAAAAUUUAUUUUAAAAUAUUAUUUUAAAUAUUUUAAAUAUUUUAUCUAUUUAUUACAAUUUUUUACAUAAUAAAUUUAAAAAUAAAAUUAAAAUAAAAAGUUAUUUUAAAAAACUCUUUAUAAAAAUUACUAAGUCAAAAUCGACUACUAUCAAUUAUUAUCGCAUAGGAACCAAAAGGACCAGUAGCACCAAAAGGACCAUCAUGUCCACAAGAACUCACAACAACCUUAGCUUCCAUAAUAUUAGGAUCCAUACAAGAGCCAUGAUUCACUGAAACCAAAACCCAAUUCGUAACAACACCACCAAUUCUUCCUUCUUUCACAAUCAAAUCAUCAACAACAACAACAUUGAACAAUUUCACGUUAGGUUUAGCGAGAAGCUUGCUCAUAUUGUUGAAGUGAACAAAGCAACGUAUUUGAUUACAAUGUAGUCUUCUUGUUCGUCGUAAUCAACGCCAAUUUCGUCGAGGAAGAGGUGAGAUGGUUUGCGGACAACCAUGGCGGAGAAGAGUUGGUCGUCGAGCCAUGCACCGCCGCCGGGAUUGAGAGAUUGUUCGAUUAUGACUAUACUGAUGUUAGGAUUUUUGCUUAAUUUCGUAAGCGCAUGAAAGACCGGCGGAACCGGCACCGACAAUGACAACGUCGGUGUAGGCGUAGGUAAUCAUGGGAGGUGCGAGUAGCAAUUGGUCAUCAAUUGAAGAAUGAGGAUUUGGGAGUUGAGGAUUUGGUGGAUGCCAUGAAGAAGGGUAUGUUGGGAAUAGAAAGGUAAUUGAUAUUUGUGAGACAAGGGUAGAAUGGGUUUUAUAAAGAUAGAAAGAGGUGGAUAAAAUUUGGAAAGAUGGAAAGAGGUGUAUUACUUCUACAACUAAUCCUCUAGAAGUGAUACAUCAUAGUUAUAAUAUUAAAUAAUACUACUAUUAUUAAAUAAGAGAGACAUGAUUGAUUUUUUGCUUAUAUUUAGUUUAAAAUAUACUCCAUUUUUGCUUAUUAAUUUGUACUCCGACUAUGUAAUUGUAAAAUUUAUGUCUUGACUUCGUAUAUGUCAUAAGUUGGUAGACAAGAAAUUUCCAGAAAAAAAUUGAAGAUAUUUAUUCAAAGUUUAUUUUUAUAACACGUGUAUGGUGGUUAUCUAUGACUUAAUUUUAUUUGGAUAUUAAUAUGUUGAUAGAUUAGGCACACUAUUUAUCUUCUUCUUUUGUCCUAAAUAGUUUGUAAAUUGCUACAUAUUCCGACAAUUUGUUUGUCUAAACAUAUAUAUGAAAAAACAUACUCUGAGUGACACACAAGUAUAAGAUAAGGAAUAUCUUAUUGUUUAGUAAAUAUUUAAAAAGGGAUUUAUACAUUCUUUCCUCUAAUGUUUUGACUUUAGUUAUAAUUAUUUUUAAAGUCAUAUAUCUGAUUAGUUGUAAUUUUUUUUUACUUUAAUUUUACAUUGACAUUUGUAUGUCAAUCAAUCUUUUUAUGAUAUUGACGGAUGAGAAUCUUAAAAUAAUGUAUGUGAGGAUUUAAACCUUGAGCGUGUGUGAAAAGUUGAUGCUCGUGUUUGAUAAACUUAUACUGUGUUUGGAUGCAUGUUUAUAUGAAAAGUUGGUGCUCAUGUUUGAUAGGCUUAUAGUGUGUUUGGAUACAUGUUUAUGUACGUAAUCCCGCUUUUUAAUGUAAACUCGCCGUGAUUUUAAAAAACUACAAAUUAUAGUAUCCAUGUAAAUGUGAAUUGAAAUACGAAACUGCAUAAUUUUCAAAGACACUCUUAAUCCUCUUUCAAAUUGGUGUUAUGCCUAUUCUCAAACCUGAAAUGUGUUUUUCUCUUUUAAAUUCUAUUAAGGAAUACAAUAAAAUAGUAGUUGUAGAGUCUAAAGUUGCACGCAAGUGCAACCUUCAAAAUCAUGCUCAUCCUCUUUUCCUCUUCCAAAACUUUGCAAGUAACUUCUUAAAUACAUCGAAGUGGUAGAACCAUGCUUUCAAAAUGAAAUGGUUAUUUAGAAAUAUAAAGUAAAUGAGUUGGUUUGAAUGGAGGGAAAUAAGAGUUUGAUGAUAAAAUAGUUAGUUCAAUACUCCAUUCGUACAACACACUACACUAAUUACUUACAUUAGCAAAAAAAUGCUUGUGAAUUGUCCUUUAUUCUUUGACGGAAGAAAAGAAGGUUAUUUGCUAAAAAAACUCUGAAAUACAGAGGUGGAAGAGUUAUGCUUUCAAAAUGAGAGAGUUUUCUAAUCUCCAAAUUUACUUCACAUCAACUUCUCUUAAUCAUUUCAAGGGAUUUGUUAAAUCUACAUUUACCUGUUAUUUUUAACAUUAAUUGGUUAAUAUCCAACUUACCAUUCUACUUUUAGAGAUAAUCGACCAGUUUAUCAUCAUCGGUAUUCUACUACUAGAGUGACGUUCACUUCCUUAGUUUCGUGUUUAAUUUUUUCAACAUGUGUUUCAGUUUUUCUUAUUUCUUUUUUUCUUUUUAAUUUUAACAGAUAUAAUAAAUCUCACCAUAAUUAACUCACAUAUCUAUGAGGUCACAGAUUCAAACUCGGGGUAAAACAUUCAACCUAGUAAUAGCCAUUUGUCAGUUGAACUAUGACUUUUUUUAUUUCUAUUACGUUUAAUGAUUAAUUAGCAUGAAAAAGUAAUCAUGCUAAAAAGUUGUUUGCGGUUAAGAGCUGGAACUUGAAGAGCAAAAGAAGGAGCCAUUUCAGAUAUGGAGAUUAUGACUACCUUUAAAUAAGUUAUACUAAGGGUUCAGUAAACAACUUGACAGGAUAAUUGUACUGAAACAGUGCUUAAAGAAUUCUUUUCAUGAUUAAUUGAUACUUAUACGGGUAGCAAAAUUUUCUAACAAGAAAAACCACAGAAAUUUAAUUUUAACUCUUNNNNNNNNNNNNNNNNNNNNNNNNNNNNNNNNNNNNNNNNNNNNNNNNNNNNNNNNNNNNNNNNNNNNNNNNNNNNNNNNNNNNNNNNNNNNNNNNNNNNNNNNNNNNNNNNNNNNNNNNNNNNNNNNNNNNNNNNNNNNNNNNNNNNNNNNNNNNNNNNNNNNNNNNNNNNNNNNNNNNNNNNNNNNNNNNNNNNNNNNNNNNNNNNNNNNNNNNNNNNNNNNNNNNNNNNNNNNNNNNNNNNNNNNNNNNNNNNNNNNNNNNNNNNNNNNNNNNNNNNNNNNNNNNNNNNNNNNNNNNNNNNNNNNNNNNNNNNNNNNNNNNNNNNNNNNNNNNNNNNNNNNNNNNNNNNNNNNNNNNNNNNNNNNNNNNNNNNNNNNNNNNNNNNNNNNNNNNNNNNNNUCCGAUCACGGAAAAAGCAUUCAAUCAACUGAAGUUGGUGAUGAGCCGUCUUGUAUUAUAGGAUCAUUAAACUUGUUUAUAAGCAAAAAAAUAGUUUUCACAUAACUUGUCAAAAAAUCUGGCCUAUUACCAGAUUUUUUCAUCUAUAAUGUAAACAACUCUAUACUAAUACGUUGAGAGUGAGAGGAUCAAAAUUCCAAUUUACCUCCCAUGUAAUAAACAAAAUUACUUUAUUCCACUAAAUUGGAAGGAUUGGGGACUCGACUAAAAAAAUAAAAAUAUUUUUUUUUAAACAUAAGUUGUAUCCAGAAUCUAAGCGUUUUGUUGUUGAGAAACGUACUGGUUUCCAAUUGUAUCUCCUGUUGAUAAGAUUUUCUGCUAUGAAGAUGUAAAACUCGUAAACUUUCUUAAGUGGCUUUUUGCUCGGUGUUUGGAUGGGUUAGAUUAGAUGUAAACCAAAUGGAGAUUUGUUCACAUCCCAAGCCUUUUGAUUCUUCCUUUAUCCAAAAACCUCAAGGAUCAUUUGUUAGAAAACCAUAACUAAUUAAAGAUCUAUAUUAACAUGAUUGUUGAUAAUCACAUAUUUGUGCCAAAGUUGUUCAUAAUAAUAGGUUAACAAACAUCCAAAAUCAGCGGGGCCAUAAAAUUGACAACAUAAUCAUGUCAUAAAAAGUAAACAUAAUACACAAAUUACAUAAGCAAAAGUACUGAUUAAUUCAUUAUUCACAAAGAACCAUAAAAUUCAUAACAUCGUAAACUUAUUCUACUGGGCCAACACAGGCCCUAUCACUUCCACAACAAGUAAAAGAAACAUCAGACAGAUAUUAAUCCCACAGCCACAGAUUAGAAACCACCACGAAGACGGAGCACAAGGUGAAGGGUGGACUCCUUCUGAAUAUUGUAAUCAGCAAGGGUCCUUCCAUCCUCCAACUGCUUCCCUGCAAAGAUCAACCUCUGCUGGUCCGGUGGGAUACCUUCUUUAUCCUGAAUUUUUGCCUUCACAUUAUCAAUGGUAUCAGAGCUCUCCACCUCAAGGGUAAUUGUCUUCCCAGUCAAGGUCUUCACAAAAAUCUGCAUACCACCACGAAGACGCAACACAAGGUGAAGGGUAGACUCCUUCUGGAUGUUGUAAUCAGCGAGGGUCCUUCCAUCUUCCAGCUGCUUUCCGGCGAAGAUCAACCUCUGCUGAUCUGGGGGAAUACCUUCCUUAUCCUGGAUCUUGGCCUUAACGUUGUCGAUUGUGUCAGAACUCUCCACCUCAAGGGUAAUAGUUUUACCAGUGAGGGUCUUCACGAAGAUUUGCAUACCACCACGAAGACGCAACACAAGGUGAAGGGUUGACUCCUUCUGGAUGUUGUAGUCAGCUAAGGUGCGGCCAUCUUCAAGCUGCUUUCCGGCGAAGAUGAGUCUCUGCUGGUCUGGUGGGAUUCCUUCCUUGUCUUGGAUCUUAGCCUUCACGUUGUCGAUGGUGUCAGAGCUUUCAACUUCGAGAGUGAUGGUCUUACCGGUGAGGGUCUUCACAAAGAUCUGCAUACCUCCACGAAGACGGAGGACGAGAUGAAGGGUAGAUUCCUUCUGGAUAUUGUAGUCGGCGAGGGUACGACCGUCCUCAAGUUGCUUUCCGGCGAAGAUAAGUCUCUGCUGGUCCGGGGGAAUUCCUUCCUUGUCUUGGAUCUUGGCUUUAACGUUAUCGAUGGUGUCGGAGCUUUCGACCUCAAGAGUGAUGGUCUUGCCUGUGAGGGUCUUGACGAAGAUCUGCAUGCCUCCACGAAGACGGAGGACGAGAUGGAGAGUUGACUCCUUCUGGAUGUUGUAGUCGGCAAGGGUACGGCCGUCCUCAAGCUGCUUUCCGGCGAAGAUGAGACGUUGCUGGUCCGGAGGAAUUCCUUCCUUGUCCUGGAUCUUGGCCUUUACGUUAUCGAUAGUAUCAGAACUCUCUACCUCGAGAGUGAUUGUCUUGCCGGUGAGGGUUUUCACGAAGAUUUGCAUCUGUGGAAGUAGCAGCAACAAAUAAAUCAGAAUCAAACGCCAGAAAUCGAAUUAGAAACUGGAUUAUGAAUCUAUAACAACAGACCAAAACAGCUUGAGAUCAAAACAACAAAUAAACUAAAAUCAAACACCAGAAAUUGAAUUGACUCUAAUACAUAUUAAAAACAGUGUAUAACAAACGAAUAUGAAGCAUUUCAAAUUAAACGUUAUCAGAUCCGUUCAUGCAAAACCUGUUCAUAAACCAGAUACAACAAACCUAAUUGACGAUCAUGCAAUUCAAACAGAUUUAUUGAGAAUAUAUAUUAGAAACAGAUCUGAGAUCAUUUCUAAUAAAUUAAGCUUAUAUAAACUCUGUCUAAUCGAUUUCUAACAGAUCUACGAAAGGAAAGACGAAAACCCGAAUCGAAAAUCAGAAAAGAAAUGGAAAAUACCUUGAGGAUUUGUUGAGAAGUAGAUAGGGCUCAAAGAAAUGAAUUCAAUAGAAAUGAAACUGCGAUUUGUAUGGGAGCAUUGGGGUUAAUUUAUAGCAAAAGGGUCAAAAACGUAACCACUAGAAUUGUGACACGUGUCUUGAUUAUAUGUCAUUCGGUGCUAGUUGUUGGGUUGCUUGUUGUAUCUGGCUUAGUUUUGGUAUCCAAUGCGUUCAGGGCGGUCUUUCUCGGAAAUUAUUAAUUGCAAUUGGGAAAUGGUAGUUGGCGUUUAAUCUUGACGGAGUCGAAUGCAACCUUCUACUGGAAUCUGGAUUAAUCGUUACCACGGCGUUACUUUAUUGGGUCACUUAUUUCGUAUGGGCCCACGUCGUCUGUUUUACAAUAUGAACUCCACUCCACCGUUGGAAGGCCGACUGCUAUGAAAAUUAUAUUAAAUUCAACAAAGAGAAUAUUAGAAUGGUUAAAUAAAUUGUAUUUUUUUUUACAAUGUUAAAUAAAUUAAUUUUUUGGUUCUACUAUCAUACUAUUGGUUCGAUAUGGUAUUAAGUUCGAGUUUUAUGAGUAAAAAAACAAAAUUUGUAUUUAUAGUAAAAUAUAUUUAAAAAAUAUAUAUUUAAUUUUUAUGAAUAUAAUUUUUUUAUUUUAGUUUCUAUAAAAAAUUUUGAAUUAAAUUUUAUAAAUGGUUUUAGUUCUUAAUAUCAAAUUAAUAUAAAAGAAUAACGAAGUUUUAAAACACUUUUAAAAUAUUCUUUUAAUUUUUAUUUGUAUUUUUUUAUAAAAUAAUACUAAUUAUUAAAUAAUUAAUUAAUAUUAUAAAAUGUUUUAAUUUUUAAUAUUUCAUAAAAAAUAUAUUUAUGUGUAUUUAUAAAUUCACUUAUCCUGCAAUUUAUUAACUCUUUUUUUAAACUAAAAAUUAAUUAUCUUUAAUUUUAUAAUAAUUAAAUUUAAACAAUAAAAUUUAUAUAGACUAAUAUAAAAAAUAAUAUAUCUAUAUAAUCAAAUAAAUAUUUAAAUCAUAAAAAUAACAAUGUUGAGAGAUAUCUGAUAUGACUCUUCGAUGGAGACAAAUUUGGUAAAUAUUUCACACAUGCUUAAGAAAAUUGUUGGUGCUUAUUGGAUGUGCUGGAUAUACAACGUGGUUCAGAAUACGAGGAUAAAAGUAGAACUUCAGUAAUUAAAGAAAUAUAUAAAAACCUUUGAGUUAUACGAUAUAAGUUUUUGCUUCGUAUAUCAUCUAAAGGACAAGCAACAAAGAAUAAUAUAAAUUUAUAAGUCUAACUCUAAGAUAUUGUUUUUUAGAGAAAUAUUAAAAUUUUAAAUGUUGAGAAAAAUAUUAAAAGUUAUGUAAUUUAAAUUUUAUCAUUGUAAUAAAAAUAUUCAUUUAAUUUUUUUUUGUUUCUUAAUAAAUAUAUUUAAAAUAUUUGUUAACAUAGUCUUUUUUGUUUAUUGGUCUUACAUAAUCCUUAUUUUUAUGUAUACAAAAUAUCGCAAGUGAUUAUAAGGUUUUUAAUUAUAUUCAAUGAUUUUAAUGUAGUUGAAUUUUUAAAGUUCAAAUUUAAGACAUUCAAUACUUUAGAGUUUUAACUAAAACAUAUAAUAUAUUCUGAUUAUCUAAUAAUCCUAUCUAUGCCUUCUUAGUUUUCCUUAUGAUAUAUGUAUGAUAAUAUUAUAGCAAAUGGGGUAGUAUGUAGUAUAUGUUUAUAUGUGUUAAAAAAAUUUAUAAAAGCGUUAUAUCAUUAAAGUUUCUGCAUAUAUUACAUUGAAAUUUUUGUAUAGGAAUAAAUAUAAAAUUAUAAAUUUUAUCACAAUGAUGAUUUUGUUGUUUUUUAUUUAUUUAAAAGAGUUUAAUAAAUAUUUAAAUUCUAUAAAAAAUAUGUAUAUCAAUUAAUAUGUCAUGCUAUUUACCGGUGUAAAUUAGUUUUCUCGUGUCAUAUCAUUAAAGUAAGGAAUAAUUAAGUGAUUUAAUAAAAUACAUAAAUUUUAAUAGAUAUUAAAAUAAAAUAAUUUUGCAAUGAAAAUGCAUUUAAAGAAAUCUCAUUAUAUAUUAAUGAAUAUGUCAUGCCGGUAUAAAUUUAUUUUCUAGUGCCAUGUCAUUAAAGUGGGGUGUAAUGGAGUCAUUUGACAAAGUACAUAAAUUUCAUUAGAUAUUAAUGUAAAAUAAUUUUAUAUUGAAAAUAAAUUUAUGAGAAAUAAUUAAUAAAUUUCUUAAAAUAUUUGUUAGUCUGACUAUUUCUCUAUUAUAAUCUAUUUAAAUUUUAUUUAGUCUAACUCAAUCUAGAAUAUAAUGGUUAUGAUAUUAUUUGAUUUUCUAUUUAAUGGGUCCCAAAAAUGUAAUGUAAUAAAAAGUCUUAUCAAUUUUAGUUUUAAUCCUAGUGUCUUCCAAUAUUUUUGCUUAUUUAUUCUUAGUCUAAUUAGCAAAAUAAUUAAAGAUUGCUAGAUUGGUUACUAUAUGAAGAAGGUAAUAUAUAAAUUGUUCAUAAAGUAUAUUCAUUCGCAAAGUAUUGAAAAAAAUUAAAUAUAACGGAUAUAAAUGGUGGAAGCGGUAUUUAGAAAAUUGUCUAAGUAGUGAAAAAAUACAUUAAAAAAAAAAAGCUAUUAUGUCAAUAUAAUUGUUGUAUACUAAUUGCUGCAAUUACUAUUAUUUUGUUCUUUCUCCAGUUUCAAUAAAAAAAUUAUGUUUUAUGCAUAUAUAAGAGAUAAAUAUUUGUGUUGUAUAUAUUUUGAUCAAUGUAUUUAAGUUUCUUACACGUUUUUCUAUAAAAAAAAAAUUCAAAACACACUCCAAAAAAAAUAUAAAUGUAUCUUUGAACUAAUUGUUUUGUGAAUGAUAAUUUUUUAAUUAUAUUUAAGUUUUGUGAUGAUGUGAGAAGUGUGGAUAGCAAUUGUUCUUCUAUUGAAGAAUGAAUAUUUUGGACUUGAAGGGAGAAAAGUGACAAGAGAUGUUGCGGUGGCAGUGGCGAAUGCCAUGAAGAAGGAGAGUAUUUGGAAAAUAGAAAGGGUUACUGAUAUUUAAUAAAUAGGUGGAAUAGACGUGAGUAGAAUAAAUAGGUUUUAUAAAGGGUUACUCACAUUUGGCAGAGAGAUGAAAUAGAUGUAAGUUGAAUAAAUAGAUUUUAUAAAGAGAUGUGGAUAUAAUUUGAAUGGGUGAGAAUUGUUUUUACUUUGAACGGUUGUCCCCACUCCCAAAUUCAUUAUUGUCAUUUUUCAUUCACUAAUAUACCAUCAAAAAGACAAAAAUGUGAGCAACCCAACAUCAAUCUCUAAUCUUUUGAUAGCUCAAUUUCACUUGCAGAAAGACACCAUUUAAAUACUCCAUGAGUAUUAUUAAUGGUUUCAAUUUCAAGAACUGGAUUUUCACACCCAGAUGAAAAUUUUCCCAUAGGAGAGAAUGAUAAGCUUCCAUAAGAAGAACCCAUUUGAGAAUUUCCCGUCUUGAUGCUGAAUUCACCUCUUGAAAAAGUUGAUUCAAUUUUAUGCAAGUGCAGGCAAGGUGCAUGGAUAAUUACCCAUGCCUAUACUCAUACACAUACAUUGGGUUUUUACCUACACAUAAUGGAUACUUUAUUGAAAUUCUUGUGUCUUAAUCUUCCCAUUCUCAAUAAAAAAGAAACUAUGUUUAAAAUUUGAUUAAAAAAUAAAUAAAGUUUAAGUAAUUAAAUUUUAUAGAGAUUUUAAUCGUAGAUGUGCUUGAAAAAAUUAAUUAAAUAUUUCAAAUAUUAAUUUUGACUUGUUUUUGUAUUAAAAUUAUUGUAAAGUUAAAAAAUAUAUAAAGAUCUUUAUUCAAAGUUUACUUCCAUAACACGUGCUCACAUUUUGAAUUGUAUAAUGGUUGUUUAUGGCUUGAUUUUACUUAGAUUGGAUAAAUUGCUACAUGUUAUGACAAUUUGUUUGUCUAAAUAUAUAUAUGAAAAACAUAUACUCUUGAGUGAAACACAUGUAUGAUCAUUUGAUUCGCAUUUUCUUUAUUCAUUAUUGAGUUCAAAUCACAUGCAGAAGAAAAGCAAAUGAAAAAUAAACUAAAAACUAAAUCGAUUUAACUGAUGUUCCAUCAAUUGCAUUGUUAUUCCCCAAUGUCUUCAAUGUCAAAUGAGCUGCCUUCUGCCCUGAUAUCAUUAUAGCUCCAAAUGUUGGACCCUACAAAAAUCACCAAUGUUAUCACAUCUUAAACAAAUGUUUCUUACCAUCUUCAAAUUAAUUGCACUAAAACCAAUAUCCUUGCAGUUGAAAGUAUCUAAAAAAAACCUGAUAUUAAUGUCGACAUUAAAUCAAAAUUGCACAAACAAGCCUAUAAACAAAAUAUUAUUUUCUUUGGUAGAUUAUAAACAAAAAUUCUACUUCUUGCACAACAUUAAUUCAAUAUAUUAUUACACACAAAAUUGUCCAAGCCUAUAUUAUUUACACACACAUUAACUCCUAGAAUCAUGUUUGGUUAUUAUGUUGGACUUCCUACUUUAGAAUUGAUUUAAAUUACAAAAUUAAUUCUUUAAAAGAAAAUAUAUUUAGCUUCUAUGAUAACUAGAAUAUUUUUCAAAUUUAUUGAUAGAAAUACACACAAAAACAAUUAUUAUUUUGAAAUAGAUAAAAAUUAUUAUUUUUUAUUUUAAACAUACCCAAUAUAAAUAACUUUACCUUCAAAGUAUUUAACAUCAAUUUCAUAAUAAUUACUUAAGUCAAAAUCAACUAGUAUCAAUUAUUAAUAUCAAUUAUUAUCACAUAGGAACCAAACACAAUAAUUAACCUUGAACCGAAAACAAAGAAGCUUACCACUCUUGGAGUUUCAUACAUUUCAGCAACUUCCAUACCAGUAAUAAUCAUAUCAGGAACAAUCUCCUUAAUAAGAUGAACAAUAGCAUCUUCACCAGUUUUCAUGUCAAGUGAAUUUAUUCCACAAACAAAGUCAAUCAUACCAACACGCUCUAGCAUUUUUAAGCCACUAGCACCAAAAGGACCAUCAUGUCCACAAGAACUCACAACAACCUUCGCUUCCAUAACAUGAGGAUUCAUACAAGACUGUAUAUCAGGCUUCAUUGAAACCAAAGCCUAAUUCGUAACAACACCACCAACUCUUCCUUCUUUCACAAUCAGAUCCUCACCAGCAACAACAUUAAACAAUUUCACGUUAGAUCUAACGAGAAGCUUGCUCAAGAUUGUUGAAGUGAACAAAGCAGUGUGUUUGAUUACAACAUAUUCUUCUCGUUCGUCGUAAUCAAAUUCAAUUUCAUCGAGGAAGAGGUGAGCUGGUUUGCGGACAACCAUGGCAGAGAAGAGUUGGCCGUCAAGCCAAGCACCGCCACUGGGACUGACGAAUUGUUCGAUUAUGGCUAUACUGAUGUUGGGGUUUUUGCUUAAUUCGUAAGCGCAUGAGAGACUGGAGGAACUGGCACCGAGGAUGACAACGUCAGUGUAGGUAACCAUGUCUGUUACGUAACGGCGUGACAUUUCACGAGAGACGAUGGAUUCUUCGAUGGGUUCGAAUUUGAAGGAAUAAAGAUCGUGUGUGUUGAGGGACUUGGAGAUUAAAGAAUUGUUAUAGGAGGUGGAUUUUAUGAUGUGGGAGGUGUGGGUAGCAAUUGUUCUUCCAUUGAAGAAUGAGG